rnacentral:rRNA from 1 species
UACGUAGGUGGCAAGCGUUGUCCGGAUUUACUGGGUGUAAAGGGCGUGUAGCCGGGCUGACAAGUCAGAUGUGAAAUCCGGGGGCUCAACCCCCGAACUGCAUUUGAAACUGUUGGUCUUGAGUAUCGGAGAGGCAGGCGGAAUUCCUAGUGUAGCGGUGAAAUGCGUAGAUAUACGGAGGAACACCAGUGGCGAAGGCGGCCUGCUGGACAUUAACUGACGCUGAGGCGCGAAAGCGUGGGGAGCAAACAGG